GUACACUCCUACGGGAGGCAGCAGUGGGGAAUAUUGGACAAUGGGCGCAAGCCUGAUCCAGCCAUGCCGCGUGAGUGAUGAAGGCCCUAGGGUUGUAAAGCUCUUUCACCGGAGAAGAUAAUGACGGUAUCCGGAGAAGAAGCCCCGGCUAACUUCGUGCCAGCAGCCGCGGUAAUACGAAGGGGGCUAGCGUUGUUCGGAAUUACUGGGCGUAAAGCGCACGUAGGCGGAUCGAUCAGUCAGGGGUGAAAUCCCAGGGCUCAACCCUGGAACUGCCUUUGAUACUGUCGAUCUGGGGUAUGGAAGAGGUGAGUGGAAUUCCGAGUGUAGAGGUGAAAUUCGUAGAUAUUCGGAGGAACACCAGUGGCGAAGGCGGCUCACUGGUCCAUUACUGACGCUGAGGUGCGAAAGCGUGGGGAGCAAACAGGAUUAGAAACCCUGGUAGUCCCA
rnacentral:rRNA from 1 species